rnacentral:rRNA from 1 species
UUAGAGUUUGAUCCUGGCUCAGGAUGAACGCUAGCGGCAGGCUUAACACAUGCAAGUCGAGGGGCAGCGAGAUCAGUGCUUGCACUGAUUGUCGGCGACCGGCGCACGGGUGCGUAACGCGUAUGCAACCUACCCAUUACAGGGGGAUAACACUGAGAAAUCGGUACUAAUACCCCAUAACAUCCAGGGAGGCAUCUUCUUGGGUUGAAAACUCCGGUGGUAAUGGAUGGGCAUGCGUUGUAUUAGUUAGUUGGUGGGGUAACGGCUCACCAAGACAACGAUACAUAGGGGGACUGAGAGGUUAACCCCCCACAUUGGUACUGAGACACGGACCAAACUCCUACGGGAGGCAGCAGUGAGGAAUAUUGGUCAAUGGACGCAAGUCUGAACCAGCCAUGCCGCGUGCAGGAAGACGGCUCUAUGAGUUGUAAACUGCUUUUGUACGAGGGUAAACGCAGAUACGCGUAUCUGUCUGAAAGUAUCGUACGAAUAAGGAUCGGCUAACUCCGUGCCAGCAGCCGCGGUAAUACGGAGGAUUCAAGCGUUAUCCGGAUUUAUUGGGUUUAAAGGGUGCGUAGGCGGUCGGAUAAGUUAGAGGUGAAAUCCCGGGGCUCAACUUCGGAAUUGCCUCUGAUACUGUUCGGCUAGAGAGUAGUUGCGGUAGGCGGAAUGUAUGGUAUAGCGGUGAAAUGCUUAGAGAUCAUACAGAACACCGAUUGCGAAGGCAGCUUACCAAGCUACUUCUGACGUUGAGGCACGAAAGCGUGGGGAGCAAACAGGAUUAGAUACCCUGGUAGUCCACGCAGUAAACGAUGAUAACUCGUUGUCGGCGAUACAGUGUCGGUGACUAAGCGAAAGCGAUAAGUUAUCCACCUGGGGAGUACGUUCGCAAGAAUGAAACUCAAAGGAAUUGACGGGGGCCCGCACAAGCGGAGGAACAUGUGGUUUAAUUCGAUGAUACGCGAGGAACCUUACCCGGGCUUGAAAGUUAGUGACGGAUCUUGAAAGAGGUCUUCCCUUCGGGGCACGAAACUAGGUGCUGCAUGGUUGUCGUCAGCUCGUGCCGUGAGGUGUCGGGUUAAGUCCCAUAACGAGCGCAACCCCUACCGUUAGUUGCCAGCAGGUCAAGCUGGGCACUCUGACGGGACUGCCGGUGUAAGCCGAGAGGAAGGUGGGGAUGACGUCAAAUCAGCACGGCCCUUACGUCCGGGGCUACACACGUGUUACAAUGGCAGGUACAGAGGGCAGCUACCCAGCGAUGGGAUGCGAAUCUCGAAAGCCUGUCUCAGUUCGGAUUGGAGGCUGAAACCCGCCUCCAUGAAGUUGGAUUCGCUAGUAAUCGCGCAUCAGCCAUGGCGCGGUGAAAAGGUUCCCGGGCCUUGCACACACCGCCCGUCAAG